GCGACCUUUCAUCCUAUCCACCACUGCCACAAACAGCUGCAUCCACUUACAGAACGGCUUCAUUCUAUCUAUGUAGAAAGUCAGCACGCUCCUGACGUCCAGGAUAUGAAGCCUGUGCUCCUCAUCCGAUGCAUGAGGCUUCAGACAGAAGACUGCCCAUUCUGAGGUGGGAGGGAUGGAGGAAAGUGUCUGCCAGAUGGCCUGGGCAAUUUUGAGGACCCCGCUGUGCAUUGGUAGUGGGACACAGAUACUUACCACUAACUACAAAGGAUAACUAUAUACAAGGCCUUAAGGCACAAAGUCCAAGACAAGAAACCACCAGCCCCUGACAAGCCCGGAAGGCACUCCGACUGACCACCGCGGGAGGGAGUAGGGCCGGCAGCACCUGAUAUACCAGUGCAUGAGCAUGGCACUCAAGGGGGCGACGCAGCCAGCCCUACGGAUAGCGCCAAGGCAAAAAUCUCUGAUGGCCACGCAUGUGGGCGCCC